UGCAAACACGUUUUGGGAUUUUACUAGAUGUUACGGGGAACUGUUACGUUAAAGAACUCAAUUACCCAGCAGUCUUUGUUGACGGACAUGCGCAGAGUAGAGGGCGGCUCGUAGUGUCGCGUGAGUUAAUGCUGUUAUCGCGAGAGGUCGCCAUUGGAGCCUCUGCGUUGAACAGCUGCAGGUCCAGUUGUAUGCAGUCCGUAUUUUAUAUUUUAAACUGCUUACUACACACCUAUGCUUACACCCAAACGGACUAAACCAAGUGGAGAUGCUUUGGACGAUGGCCCGUGCAAAGUCAUGCCACCAGUCUGAGGACAUCACUGGGAAUGGCACAUGGGACACGUGGCUUUCAACUCCAGCGAGGUGGGCUUCACCGCGGGCAAUCGUGGCAAAGACCCAAGUCGACUGGACCACAGCGGAAAAUGAUCCUUCCAGAGAAGAAGUUAUUUACUUCUACAACGAAUGGAAGAGUUACAACUUCCAGAUGACAGCUCGCCGCUCAUCCUUCUGGGCAACUUGAACAUCCGACAGAACUUAUGUGACCUACUGCGUUUAUUUUCUCCUUUAGCUCUCACUAACUCUAACUUGCCCCAGCACCUGUUGUGAUUUAUUCUAGCGCUUCCACAAUUGAAUUUUGCUUGGUAUUUUAUCUAACUUGCCCCAGCACCUGUUGUGAUUAAUUCUCUCUCACGGUGUCAAGUGUGUACCUUGAUCUUUUUUUUGCUCAUUGCAGCCCUUCUCUGCAAGGAGUGCUAACAAUGCAUGGUGCUGUUCAUUAAGCAACUGGGUAAAGAGCUUGUAAUGCCACAUAUGAAAAAGCUCAUAAGCUCAUUUAUAAUAAAAUAAUAUAUAUAAUCUUGCCUUGACUGAAUGGGGGCGAUCAAAGUUAUUUUGGUGACGUUUUGAUCAUUGAUUCACAACAAGUCCUGUGUUGUAUAGGUUUGCUUGAUGCUUUGGAAUCUGUAGACCUGGAUUUGUUAUCAACCUGAAUUGACAAUCCAUUGACAACAUUGCUGGAAUCUCCUCUCCCUUAAGACUGCAAUAUUACUUUUAGCUGAAAGUACAUGGCUCCACUGAUUCAAUUUGAAUUCACCAAUAUAUAAUGCCCCGGGGGAGAAGCGGAUCUUACUAAAUGUAUUCAUUAAUUCAUUAAGCAAAGCUCUCUUCAGGAAGACAGCCACGUCGUCAUCCAGCGGGUUUGGUUAAAAAGUUUACAUAUCUUGAUGGAGCAAAAGAGGUGGGGUUAGCUGUCGUCAUUGUACCUCGACUAAUCCAAGGUGAUCCUACGUUUCAAUAUUGCAUCAAGCUAAAGAAUCAAACAAUAACAUUUAAGAUCCAACAGCUAACCGUUACGCGCUCUCCACUUCUUACAGAGCACUUCAAACAUGGUCAUGUUAUCGCCUGAAGCCACACACUGAAUCCACAGCUCCCGUGUUUUACAGAGACUCAAACGGGUGUGACUUGACUGUAUGAAAACGUGAUCUUCAAUAAACGAAUGACUUUCCGUACGACAAGGUCUGUGACAACUGGCUGAUCGAGGGUCGUCACAUGUAGGGGCCCGGUUCACGCGACGCCCCAGGUCGACCUUCUGAUUUCCCGUCCGUGUUCCUCCUUUUUUUAAACGCGUGUCCGGCUGAUCUAACGGACAAAAUGAUUCAGGUAACUCUCCUUGCUGAGGUUUUUAAAUAACUGUACACUUAGAGCAGGGGUGUUAAACUAUUUUCAGGUUGGGGCCAGAAACUGCUCCGUGGCACAUGAACAGAAUGACACAGCUGACUGACUGAUAUAAAUAGCGGAGCCACAGACGCGCUCGUAGUCUUGCGUCAGUUCAUGCUGUUAUCGCGAGAGUACGCCAGCUCUAACGUAAUGUAUUUCUGUUCAAAGUAACCACUAUCCAGGUCUUGCACUUUGUACAUCGUCCCAAGUUAUUUAAUUACACUACUGAUGUGACUUAAAUUGUGUUUAUUGAAGAAUGCUGCAAAAUAUUGAUCCCUCUGCCCUGACGCAAUGUGGGUCAAUCGCCUUUUUUUUAGGUCACUUUUCGAUUUCGCAAUCACAAGUCAGCACGUAGCUCCGUUGCUUAUUCACAGGACUUUCAAUAUUUUGACCCGGGUUCGCUUCCCGUUAGAGCCAUCGUUUUUUUUCUUCUUUUUAACUGCGAGCCCGGCCGACCGCCGCCCCACCCCAACGUGCGAGAAGUGGCGAAGGCCCGUUCAUCGCUGCUUGCAGCUUUAAUUAGGGCCUGAGCCGACUGCAAGUCGGGCGAAAGCCCUAUUGAAAUUGCAAGAAUUCAUUAGGGCCUGAGCCGACUGAAAGUCGGGCGAAAGCCCUAUUGAAAUUGCAAGAAUUAUUAUUAUUAUUAUUUCGCCACUUCGAACGCACUUUUGGGGACUUCAUCAUGUUCAAAAACUCUUGAAUUUUUG